rnacentral:rRNA from 1 species
GACGAACGCUGGCGGCGUGCCUAAUACAUGCAAGUCGAGCGAAGUUUUUCUGGUGCUUGCACUAGAAAAACUUAGCGGCGAACGGGUGAGUAACACGUAAAGAACCUGCCUCAUAGACUGGGACAACUAUUGGAAACGAUAGCUAAUACCGGAUAACAGCAUUAACUGCAUGGUUGAUGUUUAAAAGUUGGUUUUGCUAACACUAUGAGAUGGCUUUGCGGUGCAUUAGCUAGUUGGUGGGGUAAAGGCCUACCAAGGCGACGAUGCAUAGCCGACCUGAGAGGGUGAUCGGCCACACUGGGACUGAGACACGGCCCAGACUCCUACGGGAGGCAGCAGUAGGGAAUCUUCCGAAAUGGGCGAAAGCCUGACGGAGCAACGCCGCGUGAGUGAAGAAGGAUUUCGGUUCGUAAAGUUCUGUUGUUAGGGAAGAAUGAUUGUGUAGUAACUAUACACAGUAGAGACGGUACCUAACCAGAAAGCCACGGCUAACUACGUG